rnacentral:rRNA from 1 species
ACAUGCAAGUCGAGCGAAUGGAUUGAGAGCUUGCUCUCAAGAAGUUAGCGGCGGACGGGUGAGUAACACGUGGGUAACCUGCCCAUAAGACUGGGAUAACUCCGGGAAACCGGGGCUAAUACCGGAUAACAUUUUGAACUGCAUGGUUCGAAAUUGAAAGGCGGCUUCGGCUGUCACUUAUGGAUGGACCCGCGUCGCAUUAGCUAGUUGGUGAGGUAACGGCUCACCAAGGCAACGAUGCGUAGCCGACCUGAGAGGGUGAUCGGCCACACUGGGACUGAGACACGGCCCAGACUCCUACGGGAGGCAGCAGUAGGGAAUCUUCCGCAAUGGACGAAAGUCUGACGGAGCAACGCCGCGUGAGUGAUGAAGGCUUUCGGGUCGUAAAACUCUGUUGUUAGGGAAGAACAAGUGCUAGUUGAAUAAGCUGGCACCUUGACGGUACCUAACCAGAAAGCCACGGCUAACUACGUGCCAGCAGCCGCGGUAAUACGUAGGUGGCAAGCGUUAUCCGGAAUUAUUGGGCGUAAAGCGCGCGCAGGUGGUUUCUUAAGUCUGAUGUGAAAGCCCACGGCUCAACCGUGGAGGGUCAUUGGAAACUGGGAGACUUGAGUGCAGAAGAGGAAAGUGGAAUUCCAUGUGUAGCGGUGAAAUGCGUAGAGAUAUGGAGGAACACCAGUGGCGAA